CUAGCCUGGGCCCACCUGCUGAAUUGUAAUAGAAACACAAAACACUGUGACAUGACUUCCCUGGGAUGUCACCGUCCUAGUUGAAGAGAGAAGCACUGGGCUGUGUCCCGGGAUGUACAGCCCUUUCUGUGGUGUUGGAGGUGAAGCUGGGCUUCAAGUCUGUGUCUGCGCAGUCCUAUGACUUCUCAGAGCCUUGUGGGCAAAGACACAAGCAGCAAGUUUGGAGUGGAAGAGU
rnacentral:snoRNA from 1 species